rnacentral:tRNA from 1 species
GUCCCUCGGGCUGAUAGCUCAGUUGGUUAAAGCAUGGUGCUGAUAACACCAAGGUCGCAGGUUCGAUCCCCAUAUGGGACU